UUGAAAAGUAGUUCCUGCUAACUUUCAAACUACAUUUUUGAGUUGGUAAUUUCCGUUAAAAAAAAUACUUUCGGGACCGGUUUAUACACAAACGACGAGUGAACAAGUCAGUCUAUUUAAGUUUUUUGAACGGUAAAACAGAUGUUGACAAAGACGUUUAGUGUAAAUGCCAAUAACUUAAUUCCUAAUUGGAGCCGUUAUAAAAAUGAACGUUGUAUUUUAGAAUUUCGUAUAUUUCGUAUAUUUCGUAUUGAACUUAUCAAUGCGUGUGUUUUUAUUUUAUUAUUCAACACACAUUAGGGCACAUUUGCGAGCAGCGGUUAAACAAAUGAUUGAAGAGUGUUAAAUCACAUCCUCUCUUAUCAUUUGUUGCUUCGUUAAAGCAACAAAUGUGAAUAAACUUGAGUGGAGAGAAAAAAAGUGUUGGAAUUUUGAUCCGCAUUAAGGGGUCAUGGAGUUGCAGUACUGGCAUCGAUGUGUUAAUAAGAAGUCCCUUACUUGUAAUUCAGCCCUGUCGACUUCCCACUGUGAUCUUUCCAAUUCGAACCGUGCCCAUUCAUGUUGAAUAAAAUGCAAUAUUCCAGGAAUUGAAUACUGUGCUUUGGGAUUGGCCUCUUCGUUCUGCUUGUUGUUGGUCACCGAGACGGUCUGGGGCCCCCCGAUUUGGGCCCCGUUCUGGUGAUUUAGCGAAUUGUCUUCCAUAAUGUCGAUGCCGAAA